rnacentral:rRNA from 1 species
UGGGGAAUAUUGGACAAUGGGCGAAAGCCUGAUCCAGCGACGCCGCGUGAGUGAUGAAGGCCUUCGGGUUGUAAAGCUCUUUUAGCAGGGAAGAUAAUGACGGUACCUGCAGAAAAAGCUCCGGCUAACUUCGUGCCAGCAGCCGCGGUAAUACGAAGGGAGCUAGCGUUACUCGGAAUUAUUGGGCGUAAAGCGUGCGUAGGCGGUCUAGUAAGUCAGUUGUGAAAGCCUGGGGCUCAACCUCAGAAUUGCAAUUGAUACUGCUAGACUUGAGUAUCUGAGGGGAUGGCGGAAUUCCUAGUGUAGAGGUGAAAUUCGUAGAUAUUAGGAGGAACACCGGUGGCGAAGGCGGCCAUCUGGCAGAUAACUGACGCUGUUGCACGAAAGCGUGGGGAGCAAA